rnacentral:misc_RNA from 1 species
GUUAAUUUCUGUUGUUGGCAUCUGAGAAAUUUUGUUGGAUUGGAAUUUACUAAUUGAGAAACCAUUGCAGAGGUGUGAAGUUAACGAUGGAGGCCUCUUUGGGUUUUUAUUAAUUUCGGUUUUCAUUGAAACAAACCAAACCCAACUGAUCAUAAUCGGUUUGCUUUGAUUUGAUUAUUCCUGAAAUAUCGGUUCAGUUCGGUCUUGAAUUUCAGCCCAUUCGGUUUUCCUGUUUUUCUUAAUCAGUUCGGUUCGGAACCGAAUGCUCUCCCCUAUUGUCAGAAUCAUAUUGAAAAGCUUAUUGGCCAAGCUAUUAGAAAUUCUUAUGAUUUCUCCUUUGUCAUUGAGCUCAUAUACCAGUUAAAAAAAC